UUUGAUCGGGUGUUAACAAGUGUGAGCCAAACAAUUAUUCAAGUUCAAUUAAAAGUAAGUCUAGAACUCGGAUCACUCAGGUUGAAUCAACCCACUCUCGUGGUAUUGAUUCCUUUGCAAGUCGGUCUUGAUGCCUAAACUCUUGUUUGGAUCAAGACGCGCUAGCAAGCUUUAGAGAUCAAGUCCGAUAUGUUCACAAUAUGUUCACAAUACACCCUAAUAUCUACUCUCGCUGACUAGGGAUGCAAUGCUCAUUCAUAACAGAUCUAGCAACCUAUUACACGGUUAAUGAACAGGUUAAACCUAGGAUCUAACAUUAAGCGGCCAGUUUAAUGCACACAUUAAGAAUAAUUAUGAAUGAAGACAAUCAAAGGAUUCACUUAUCUAUGUUUAACUCAC
rnacentral:lncRNA from 1 species